UCCUAGCCUGGGAACUUCCAUAUGCCUCUGGUGAGGUCCUGGAAAGACAAAAAAGUAAUCUCUAAAAUAUUCUUCCCUCUCUGUAAUUAAACCUGGUCACUGAGGGAAUUCAUUAACUCGCUAUCAUUGAUUGACACCUGCCAUGAGCUGGAUGUUAUGUAAAUCCCAGGGUUACAAGGAUAAUUAUAAAUUGUCUCUCUCUCUCUUUUUUAAGAAGUCCGUAGUUUAGCUGAAAGACAGGCUUAAACACUGUGAUGCGAUGGAAGUGUUGGAGGGACAGCACCGAUGAUUCACAUACCAGAUCUAUUUUACAGGGCCAUAACAUUUUGAAAGGAAGCCUACACAUGACUCAUUGAGAAAGAACAGCAGACCAACCAGAUCAACUCCUGUAGUCCAUGGCACAUCAGAACUCACUUGAUCUCAGAUGACAGUAUGUAAGUAUGUAACUCAACCAGGAGGAAGUUAAGUGGGGGUGAACCAUGUCAUAAGAGAUAACAGAUUUCAUUCUGUCUGUGACUUUAUUUUCUGUCUUUAAAUGUAACACAUGCCCAUUACAAAAAAAAAAAAUGCAACACAUAUACGAGUUAUGAAGAAGAAAACAACAAUUAGCCCUAAUACUACCACCAGGAGACAAUGGUUAUUGGAGUAAAUGAUAUGAUUUUUCUAAUGUUCACUGUUCUAGUCUUCUCUGAAAGAGAUUAUUCUUCUGGACCCAGUGAAGUCCAUCUUGUCUAUAGGACUUGCUUUGCAGAUGAAAUAUGAGUGAAAAUUAUGUGCUACUUCUAGGUACAGUCUUUAAACAUAGUUUCUCCUUGGCUCUUUUCUCUCUGCCGUGAGAAAGACAAAAUACACAAGAAGGGCUGUUAUUUAGGAAUAAAUAGUAGGACAAAGAGGAUACACAAAGGAGAGCCACAGCUGCCUCUCAGCUCACAUGAAAUGAGCAAGAAUUUAACUUUUGUUGUUAUGCCGCUACAUUUUAGGAUUAUUUGUACUUCAGCAUAACUGCCGAAAAUCUAAUUUACAGUAUAUUUUAUUCUAGACUUUUCAUGUUUAUAUAUGCAUAUAUAAUGAAUAAAAUAUAAAUACAUCAUUUACAAGAUGUACAUUUCUAUACAAAUAUAGAUGUGUUUAUAAUUGGAGUAGUUUUCACUUAACAUGUUUGCUUGUGAUUUUUUCUUUGAUAAUUUUCAGGUGUCAUUAUCCCUCUCAUAUGAAUUUUGAUAUCUGCCUGGUAUUCCAUUGUCCUAAGUCAAACCCCUCUAUGUUAUUACACUCCGACUUUAUUUUCAAUUAACAAACACUCUUAUGUGGUGUGUAUGUGUGGGGAAUGUGUUUGCAGAAAGCUGUGUGUGCAUUAUUUUCUCAGGAUAAGUCAAAGCUGUGAAAUCACUGGAUAAAGAGGGUGAACAUUUGCAAGGCUUUUAAUAGAGAUUGAAGAGUUGUUCACCCUAAUUAUCAUGCUCGUAGACUCCCUCCAGGAUGGACAAAGGUGUUAUUUCUUCACACCCUCAGCAACAUUAGAGAUUGACGUUAGUUUGAAAAGAAGACCUCUGAAAAUGUCUGGGAGCGAAAUACUAUCUUUUGUUUGUUUGUUUGUUUAUUUUCCUGGCUUGCUAGUGAAAUGAUUUUUUUUUUUUGGCCUGUUAUUUUAAGUGCUUUGCCCCUUAUUUUCAAAGUCAACAGGAAACUGAUUUUCCUACUCAAGUAGGAUGGCUAACAUGAAUAGGACCAUGUCGAUAGUCCAAUAAUGAGCCUCAAGUAAUUCGGACAGUAAAGUACAAUAGAAAUACCCUGCUCUUGUUCUUUAGCACCAGAAAAAGGAAUCUGGGUGCUUCCACUCAUUCCAGCCUGAGUCUCCACCCAACCAAGCAUUUCAUUCAUUCAUUUCUUCAUGCAUUUGUUUGUUGAACAAAUUACUGUGGGCAAUCUAAUAUGUUCUAUUUCUUUGUGUUUCAGCAGGGCUAUAUAAAACUACAAAAAUCCAUGUCUUUGAGUCAUGUCCUAGAAAAUCAUAAUGCUUACACUGUGUGAUGCAUUGUGGCUUACAGAAAUACUCACUUGCUUUAUGUCAUUUGGUUCACAGCCACCCUGUGACGUAGAGAAGUCAGAUAUUGUUUGCAUUUCACAAAUUAGGUGAUUGUUGUGCUUUUAAGUAGAAUUUUGUCUACUGAAUAUUAAUUAGCAUCAUAUUCAUGAUGCUAAUUUCAUGAAUUGAAAUUGUAUCUACAUGGUUCCUACAAAUGUUGACCUAGAUAAUAGCAGUCUCAGUGGAGUGGUGAGGAGGAAAGUAUGAUUGGUUUAGGAGGGCUGAGGGGACAGGAAGGUGAGGAAGUGGAGACAGUGACUACUUAGAAACCUCUUUUGAGGAAGUGGGAGAAAAGAAAGUCAACCCAAGGAGGACUUGAGGUCCAGGGAGGUUUUUCUUAAGAGUUUUUGUAAGCACGUUCACAUGCUGAUAAGAAUAAGCCCGGGGAGUUCCCGUUGUGGCGCAGUGGUUAACGAAUCCGACUAGGAACCAUGAGGU